rnacentral:snRNA from 1 species
AUUCUUUCUAUGUGUUGCCUCUUUUGAUAAUCAGUAUCUGUUCUUACUAGCUUAGUAUGAGAUACGGAUUCUAUUUGUAUCCAAGAUAAUAAACUUGUUUUUCCAAGGCGGCGCAGUUCUUGAAGCUUCCUUCACCACCGCGACGGGUUGGCCCGGUAUUGUACUAUCUCCGGGAUCGGCUCACUUGCA